UAGAUACCGGUAGUCACGCCUAACGAUGCGACUGGAUGUUGGGUACAUUACGGUACUCAGUGUCGAGCUAACGCGUUAAGUUCGCGCUGGGGAGUACGGUCGCAGACUGAACUCAAGGAUUGACGGGGGCCGCACAGCGGUGGAGUAUGUGGUUUAUUCGAUGCACGCGAGACCUUACCUGGCCUUGACAUCUGUCGAUCCUGCAGAGAUGCGGGAGUGCCGCAGGACGACAGACAGGUGCUGCAUGGCUGUCGUCAGCUCGUGUCGUGAGAUGUUGGGUUAAGUCCGNACGAGCGCACCUUGUCCUAGUUGCCAGCACGUAUGGUGGGACUCUAGGGAGACUGCCGGUGACAACCGGAGGAGGUGGGGAUGACGUCAGUCUCAUGGCCUUACGGCAGGGCUACACACGUACUACAUGGUCGGUAC
rnacentral:rRNA from 1 species